UACGGAGUAGAACAGCUUGGAGUGUUCGCUGGGCUCAUAACCCAGAGGUCGCAGGUUCAAAUCCUGCCUCCGUAA
rnacentral:tRNA from 1 species